UGGACUGCUGAUGAUCACUGCCGGCGUAUGAAUCUCUGAUCAUGAAUAAUACGUUUCUGGAACUCUGAGGUCCAA
ensembl:snoRNA small nucleolar RNA, C/D box 114-14